AGGUUGAUGGCGACCGGCGCACGGGUGAGUAACACGUAUCCAACCUACCGGUUAUUCCGGGAUAGCCUUUCGAAAGAAAGAUUAAUACCGGAUAGUAUAACGAGAAGGCAUCUUUUUGUUAUUAAAGAAUUUCGAUAACCGAUGGGGAUGCGUUCCAUUAGUUUGUUGGCGGGGUAACGGCCCACCAAGACAUCGAUGGAUAGGGGUUCUGAGAGGAAGGUCCCCCACAUUGGAACUGAGACACGGUCCAAACUCCUACGGGAGGCAGCAGUGAGGAAUAUUGGUCAAUGGACGAGAGCCUGAACCAGCCAAGUAGCGUGAAGGAUGAAGGCUCUAUGGGUCGUAAACUUCUUUUAUAUGGGAAUAAAGUUUUCCACGUGUGGAAUUUUGUAUGUACCAUAUGAAUAAGGAUCGGCUAACUCCGUGCCAGCAGCCGCGGUAAUACGGAGGAUCCGAGCGUUAUCCGGAUUUAUUGGGUUUAAAGGGAGCGUAGGUGGAUUGUUAAGUCAGUUGUGAAAGUUUGCGGCUCAACCGUAAAAUUGCAGUUGAAACUGGCAGUCUUGAGUACAGUAGAGGUGGGCGGAAUUCGUGGUGUAGCGGUGAAAUGCUUAGAUAUCACGAAGAACUCCGAUUGCGAAGGCAGCUCACUAGACUGUCACUGACACUGAUGCUCGAAAGUGUGGGUAUCAAACAGGAUUAGAUACCCUGGUAGUCCACACAGUAAACGAUGAAUACUCGCUGUUUGCGAUAUACAGUAAGCGGCCAAGCGAAAGCAUUAAGUAUUCCACCUGGGGAGUACGCCGGCAACGGUGAAACUCAAAGGAAUUGACGGGGGCCCGCACAAGCGGAGGAACAUGUGGUUUAAUUCGAUGAUACGCGAGGAACCUUACCCGGGCUUAAAUUGCAAAUGAAUAUUUUGGAAACAGAAUAGCCGCAAGGCAUUUGUGAAGGUGCUGCAUGGUUGUCGUCAGCUCGUGCCGUGAGGUGUCGGCUUAAGUGC
rnacentral:rRNA from 1 species